rnacentral:lncRNA from 1 species
AAACAUUUUCCUUCAAAUUUUAACAUCCAAUGACAUUGGCCUUUUAUUUUUAUUUUGUUUUUAAUGUUUAUUUUUAGUUUUGAGAGAGAGAGAGACAGAGUGCAAGCAGAAAGAGAGAAGGAGACACAGAAUCUGAAGCAGGCUCCAGGCUCCAAGCUGUCAGCACAGAGCCUGAUGUGGGGCUCAAACUCACGAACUGUGAGAUCAUGACCUGAGCCCAAGUGGAACGCUUAAACGACUGAGCCACCCAGGUGUCCCUGCAUUUGUCUUUUUUUUUUUUAACGUUUAUUUAUUUUUGAGAGACAGGGAGAGACAGAGAAUGAGCAGGGGAGGGGCAGAGGGAGAGGGAGACACAGAAUCUGAAACAGGCUCCAGGCUCUGAGAGUCAGCACAGAGCCUGAUGCGGGGCUUGAACUCGUGAACUGUGAGAUCAUGACCUGAGCCGAAGUUGGACGCUUAACCGACUGAGCCAUCCAGGCGCCCCUACGUUUGUCUUUUAAAUCCGAGAUCUCUAUUAGGUUGCUAGGGAAACAUCAGGUUGUUGUUUUUUUUUUUUUAAUUCCAGAACAUACUUUGGGCCAAGAUCUGCACUGCAUUUUAAGCUGACUUGGGCAUUGUUACCACUCACUGGAUAGUGCAGAGCAAUCCUGUGGGUUGGUUAAUGACAAAGUACCACUUUGUCCCCUUAUCUUCUCAGGACAGACUUCUUGUGCUACCCAGCCCCUCCCAUUUAAAUACAUACAUGUCACCAUUUUAGGACAGAAUAUCCAAGCAGGGCUGAUAGUUCUUAUUAAUUCCUGCAAUCCCACCAAUUUUUCCAUCAGGGCAACAUGAGAACAGCCGCUUCUGUGUUAGUCAUCGAAGAUCAUUUUCUGGGUAGCAGGAUGCCCCCUCUGCAUUGGCUGUUGGAACUGGAGGAAUAUCUCAGACAGCUUCUGGAAAGAACCAAAACUCUUAUGCUCCCCCUUCAUUUAUGGAAGUGGAAUGGUUUGAAAUACCUUGGCAACCAAACUGAAAAGAGGGUAUGUUUGUGCCCAAAGUGGAAAAAAGCCAAUUGCCUAAGAAAACCAAGAAUUACAGUUUUUUCGCUUUUUCUGAGAAACCCUAAAACCUAUGAUAUUGGUUAAGGUAAUCAUAGCUACUAUAACAAAUAAACCCCUCACUGUGUAAUGACUCCA